ensembl:lncRNA
GCCGGAGACACGGGGACACAGGCAGGGCCGGUGUGGCUGUGCAGAGGGCAUGGGCGCAGGACGGGGCAGGGGGCGCGGGACGCGGGACCUCACGGCAGUGACAAGGUUCUACGGGACGCUGGGACGGGGUGGGGAGGCUUGGAAGCAGGGCUCGGAAACUGGUCCCGGAGAGAGGUGGGGGCUUGGAAACGGGGCCGCCGUCUCUCCCGUGCCAACGCCCCAGCUGUUUCUUGGCUCUUGGGCUCGCAGAGCGGGGGGCUGCAGCCCGCCGCCCGCCGCCGGGUCCCGGCCGUCCACGCCCAUCCCUCUGCGGCCGGGAGGGGACGCCUGGAGGAGGCCGCGCACGCCCUUGUUCCAGAACCGGUGAGCGGGCCCCACACACCCACCGCCGCCCGACAGAUCCUGCGAUGUUUCCCAGGCAACUGCUUCAAUCUGGCCCGUCUACCAGGCACUCCGCACGCCCACGGAUGCCUCUGCCUGGCUGCGGGCAGGCUUGCCAGCCUGGCACACGCCGGCCGGCAGGUGUGGUCCAGCGGAGCCCGGCGCCUGGCUUCGUCAGAGGGCCGAACUCUGGGGAGGAGGCGGCCCGGCAUUCCGGGCCGUCCUCACCUGGAGAGCAGGCACGGCCGGGGCACCCCGAGCGGGAGCCCUGCUGUCCUGUCACGCGGCAAGGGAGGCGGCGGCCGCCGCCGUGAACACGCGCCGCCCACGGCCAGCGUCACCUACAAGGCCGCUCCGCUUUCCAGGGCUCUCCAGGUCGUGCCCGCCAGCUUCGGCCCCUGUUCCGCCCAUGUGUGCCGUCCUGACCCCGUUUGCACGGUGGCCCGCGGGCAGAACCGGCCCCCCCAAAUCCAAGGAGGGGGCGGGGGGCUUAGACCGCCCCAGCUUGUUCCGGGCCAGGAUGUGGCUAGAGGCCUCGCGGGGCUCAAGCCCUGCCUCGGAGCGGGGUCUGAUUGGGAACCUCGGCCGGGCCCCCGGGGACAUCGGCACCUGUGGGAGGUCGGUCUCGCUCCCCCAGAGGGAGCGAGGGACCCGCACCCACCUGGCUCUGAGAGCACCAGGAGCCGAGACCUGUGCUCCCUGGUGGUGGAAGGUGGCGGGAGCGAGGGGCCCCUGACCGCCCGGCCGCACAUGUCCCACGCUGGACCCGGCACCCGGGAGGGGGUGGCACCGGCCCAUCACGCACAUGCCAGCACUGCCCUGCGGACGGAGCCGGGGAGAGCUCGGAGCGGGCUGCUGGCUGCGGGCUCCCGCACCCCUGCCCUGCACUUGCUGCUUUGCCCGAGGGGGCCUCUUCUGGCGGAGACGGUCUUCGUAGACGCGAAUUUGGCUCGUCCGGAACUUGUCUCCGCAGGGCGGGCAUCCGUCACAAUCAGAAAUGAUCUUCCAGUGAAGCUCCGCUCGCUGCCUGUCACCGCGGCGGGCGGCCCAGAAAACGUGAGCCUUCAAUCAAGUUCAACGUCCGACCUUCUCCUGUCCCACACCGCCGCUGCGUCGGGGGACCUGGCGCUUCCACUCCCCGUGCAAAAGGUCCUUGUGCGGGCACGGGCAGCUGUCUGUCGGGCAGGCGGUGGCAGAGAGGGGGAGGGGCAGGGCUUCCUGACAGGCGCCAGCACCUGCCCCCCGCCUGGCAGGUCACCCCAGCUCCGUUGUCCGUGGAAGCGUCCCAGGCUGUAG